CCCUACGGGACGCAGCAGUGAGGAAUAUUGGUCAAUGGGCGCGAGCCUGAACCAGCCAAGUCGCGUGAGGGAAGACGGUCCUAUGGAUUGUAAACCUCUUUGGUCGGGGAGCAAAAGACGCCACGCGUGGCGUUCCGAGAGUACCCGAAGAAAAAGCAUCGGCUAACUCCGUGCCAGCAGCCGCGGUAAUACGGAGGAUGCGAGCGUUAUCCGGAUUUAUUGGGUUUAAAGGGUGCGCAGGCGGAAGAUCAAGUCAGCGGUAAAAUUGAGAGGAGCAACCUAGUGGAGCCGAUGAAACAGGGUGG
rnacentral:rRNA from 1 species